rnacentral:rRNA from 1 species
UCAAGCGAACAAGUGCAUGUGGUGGAUGCCUUGGCGAUCACAGGCGAUGAAGGACGCGGUAGCCUGCGAAAAGCUUCGGGGAGCUGGCAAACAAGCUUUGAUCCGAAGAUGUCCGAAUGGGGAAACCCGGCCCGUAUGGGUCAUCCCUGACUGAAUACAUAGGUCAGGGAAGCGAACGCGGCGAACUGAAACAUCUAAGUAGCUGCAGGAACAGAAAUCAACCGAGAUUCCCAAAGUAGUGGCGAACGAAAUGGGAAGAGCCUUGUACUUUUUAGCAGUGUGGUUAGCAGAACGGGAUGGAAAGCCCGGCCGUAGCAGGUGAUAGCCCUGUAUGCGAAAACCGCGUUGUGGAACUAGGGGUACGACAAGUAGGGCGGGACACGUGAAAUCCUGUCUGAAGAUGGGGGGACCAUCCUCCAAGGCUAAAUACUCGUGAUCGACCGAUAGUGAACCAGUACCGUGAGGGAAAGGCGAAAAGAACCCCGGGAGGGGAGUGAAAUAGAUCCUGAAACCGCAUGCAUACAAACAGUCGGAGCCUGGAAACGGGUGACGGCGUACCUUUUGUAUAAUGGGUCAGCGACUUACAUUCAGUGGCAAGCUUAACCGGUUAGGGAAGGCGUAGCGAAAGCGAGUCCGAAUAGGGCGAUUGAGUCGCUGGGUGUAGACCCGAAACCAGACGAUCUAUCCAUGGCCAGGUUGAAGGUGCGGUAACACGUACUGGAGGACCGAACCCACUAACGUUGAAAAGUUAGGGGAUGAGCUGUGGAUAGGGGUGAAAGGCUAAACAAGUCUGGAAAUAGCUGGUUCUCUCCGAAAACUAUUUAGGUAGUGCCUCGUGUCUCACCUUCGGGGGUAGAGCACUGUCAUGGUUGGGGGGUCUAUUGCUGAUUACCCCGCCAUAGCAAACUCCGAAUACCGAAGAGUGCAAUCACGGGAGACAGACAUCGGGUGCUAACGUCCGGUGUCAAGAGGGAAACAACCCAGACCGCCAGCUAAGGUCCCCAAGAUUGGCUAAGUGGGAAACGAAGUGGGAAGGCUAAAACAGUCAGGAGGUUGGCUUAGAAGCAGCCACCCUUUAAAGAAAGCGUAAUAGCUCACUGAUCGAGUCGUCCUGCGCGGAAGAUGUAACGGGGCUAAGCCAGUCACCGAAGCUGCGGACGCAAGUAAUUGCGUGGUAGGAGAGCGUUCUGUAAGCCUGUGAAGGUGUCUUGUAAAGGAUGCUGGAGGUAUCAGAAGUGCGAAUGCUGACAUGAGUAGCGAUAAAGGGGGUGAAAGGCCCCCUCGCCGUAAGCCCAAGGUUUCCUACGCAACGUUCAUCGGCGUAGGGUGAGUCGGCCCCUAAGGCGAGGCAGAGAUGCGUAGCUGAUGGGAAGCAGGUUAAUAUUCCUGCACCGUCGUAUGAUGCGAUGGGGGGACGGAUCGCGGAAGGUUGUCCGGGUGUUGGAAGUCCCGGUCCCUGCAUUGGAGAAGGCGCUUAGGCAAAUCCGGGCGCGUAAUUCAAGGAUGUGGGGCGAGCGGCCUAGUGCUGCGAAGCAAUUGGAAGUGGUUCCAAGAAAAGCCUCUAAGCUUCAGUCAUACGAGACCGUACCGCAAACCGACACAGGUGGGCGAGAUGAGUAUUCUAAGGCGCUUGAGAGAACUCGGGAGAAGGAACUCGGCAAAUUGGUACCGUAACUUCGGGAUAAGGUACGCCCUGGUAGCUUGACUGGCCUGCGCCAGAAGGGUGAAGGGGUUGCAAUAAAAUGGUGGCUGCGACUGUUUAAUAAAAACACAGCACUCUGCAAACACGAAAGUGGACGUAUAGGGUGUGACGCCUGCCCGGUGCCGGAAGAUUAAAUGAUGGGGUGCAAGCUCUUGAUUGAAGUCCCGGUAAACGGCGGCCGUAACUAUAACGGUCCUAAGGUAGCGAAAUUCCUUGUCGGGUAAGUUCCGACCUGCACGAAUGGCGUAACGAUGGCCACACUGUCUCCUCCCGAGACUCAGCGAAGUUGAAGUGUUUGUGAUGAUGCAAUCUCCCCGCGGCUAGACGGAAAGACCCCAUGAACCUUUACUGCAGCUUUGCAUUGGACUUUGAACCGAUCUGUGUAGGAUAGGUGGGAGGCUUUGAAGCGAGGACGCUAGUUCUCGUGGAGCCGUCCUUGAAAUACCACCCUGGUUUGUUUGAGGUUCUAACCUUGGCCCGUGAAUCCGGGUCGGGGACAGUGCAUGGUAGGCAGUUUGACUGGGGCGGUCUCCUCCCAAAGUGUAACGGAGGAGUUCGAAGGUACGCUUGGUACGGUCGGACAUCGUACCUAAAGUGCAAUGGCAAAAGCGUGCUUAACUGCGAGACCGACAAGUCGAGCAGGUGCGAAAGCAGGACAUAGUGAUCCGGUGGUUCUGAAUGGAAGGGCCAUCGCUCAACGGAUAAAAGGUACUCUGGGGAUAACAGGCUGAUACCGCCCAAGAGUUCAUAUCGACGGCGGUGUUUGGCACCUCGAUGUCGGCUCAUCUCAUCCUGGGGCUGUAGCCGGUCCCAAGGGUAUGGCUGUUCGCCAUUUAAAGAGGUACGUGAGCUGGGUUUAAAACGUCGUGAGACAGUUUGGUCCCUAUCUGCCGUGGGCGUUGGAAUCUUGACGGGGGCUGCUCCUAGUACGAGAGGACCGGAGUGGACGUACCGCUGGUGUACCUGUUGUCUCGCCAGAGGCAUCGCAGGGUAGCUAUGUACGGAAGAGAUAACCGCUGAAAGCAUCUAAGCGGGAAACUCGCCUGAAGAUGAGGAUUCCCUGGAGGCUUGACCUCCUUGAAGGGUCGUUCGAGACCAGGACGUUGAUAGGCUGGGUGUGGAAGCGCAGUAAUGCGUUAAGCUAACCAGUACUAAUUGCCCGUAAGGCUUGAUCC